rnacentral:rRNA from 1 species
AUUAGAUAAAAAACCCAAUGCCCUUCGGGGCUCUCUGGUGAUUCAUGAUAACUUAACGGAUCGCAUGGCCUUGCGCCGGCGACGGUUCAUUCAAAUUUCUGCCCUAUCAACUUUCGAUGGUAAGGUAUUGGCUUACCAUGGUUUCAACGGGUAACGGAUUUUUAGGGAAAGAUCCCGGAGAAGGAGCCUGAGAAACGGCUACUACAUCCAAGGAAGGCAGCAGGCGCGCAAAUUACCCAAUCCCGACACGGGGAGGUAGUGACAAUAAAUACUGAUACAGGGCUCUUUUGGGUCUUGUAAUCGGAAUGAGUACAAUUUAAAUACCUUAACGAGGAACAAUUGGAGGGCAAGUCUGGUGCCAGCAGCCGCGGUAAUUCCAGCUCCAAUAGCGUAUAUUAAAGUUGUUGCAGUUAAAAAGCUCGUAGUUGAACCUUGGGCCUGGCUGGCCGGUCCGCCUCACCGCGUGUACUGGUCCGGCCGGGCCUUUCCUUCUGGAGAACCGCAUGCCCUUCACUGGGUGUGCCGGGGAACCAGAACUUUUACUUUGAGAAAAUUAGAGUGUUCAAAGCAGGCCUUUGCUCGAAUACGUUAGCAUGGAAUAAUAGAAUAGGACGUGCGGUCCUAUUUUGUUGGUUUCUAGAACCGCCGUAAUGAUUAAUAGGGAUAGUCGGGGGCGUCAGUAUUCAAUUGUCAGAGGUGAAAUUCUUGGAUCUAUUGAAGACUAACUACUGCGAAAGCAUUCGCCAAGGAUGUUUUCAUUAAUCAGUGAACGAAAGUUAGGGGAUCGAAGACGAUCAGAUACCGUCGUAGUCUUAACCGUAAACUAUGCCGACUAGGGAUCGGGCGAUGUUU